AGGACGAACGCUGGCGGCGUGCUUAACACAUGCAAGUCGAGCGAGGUCCAACCGGUGGCAACACCGGGGAAGACCUAGCGGCGAACGGGUGAGUAACACGUGAGAAACCUGCCCCGAAGUUCGGGAUAACCCGGGGAAACCCGAGCUAAAUACCGGAUACCCACGAUUGGUCGCAUGGCCGAUCGUGGAAAGAACUUCGCUUCGGGAGGGUCUCGCGGCCUAUCAGCUGUUGGUGGGGUAAACGGGCCCACCAAGGCAUCGACGGGUAGCUGGUCUGAGAGGACGAUCAGCCACACUGGGACUGAGACACGGCCCAGACUCCUACGGGAGGCAGCAGUGGGGGAAUCUUGCGCAAUGGGCGAAAGCCUGACGCAGCAACGCCGCGUGCGGGAUGAAGGCCUUCGGGUUGUAAACCGCUUUCAGUAGGGACGAAAUUGACGGUACCUACAGAAGAAGCCCCGGCCAACUACGUG
rnacentral:rRNA from 1 species